UUAAUGGAUUCGUCGCUGCUCGGACGUCACUGGAUCGACGGGGUUGGACGGGGUCUCCGGCGGGCACGCGUCCGCGAGGGACGGGGGGGCACGAGGGCCCCCGGGGCCCGCCAAAGCAACGAAGGCAGGUAGGCACGGGAUGGAGCUGCGGGCGCGGUCGAUGGACGGGCGACCCUCGCUCAUACGCUAAUGAUCCUUCCGCAGGUUCACCUACGGAAA
rnacentral:misc_RNA from 1 species